AUUGAACGCUGGCGGCAUGCCUUACACAUGCAAGUCGAACGGCAGCACGGGUGCUUGCACCUGGUGGCGAGUGGCGAACGGGUGAGUAAUACAUCGGAACGUACCUUAUCGUGGGGGAUAACGCAGCGAAAGCUGCGCUAAUACCGCAUACGCCCUGAGGGGGAAAGCGGGGGACCGUAAGGCCUCGCGCGAUUGGAGCGGCCGAUGUCUGAUUAGCUUGUUGGUGAGGUAAAGGCUCACCAAGGCAACGAUCAGUAGCUGGUCUGAGAGGACGAUCAGCCACACUGGGACUGAGACACGGCCCAGACUCCUACGGGAGGCAGCAGUGGGGAAUUUUGGACAAUGGGGGCAACCCUGAUCCAGCAAUGCCGCGUGAGUGAAGAAGGCCUUCGGGUUGUAAAGCUCUUUUGUCAGGGAAGAAACAGCAGCUUUAAUACAGCAUGCGAAUGACGGUACCUGAAGAAUAAGCACCGGCUAACUACGUGCCAGCCGCCGCCGUAA
rnacentral:rRNA from 1 species